AUAAAAAUAAUGAAAUAUUAAAUCAGUAUAAGAAUGGCGUUGCCCAGAGGUGAAGCUUAUACAAAUAUUUAAAAUUUGAUCAUCGUUAUAGAAACUACAAUUAUAUAAAAAAAAAUACGAUUUUUGUUCUCUAUAUAAAAUUUAUUUACAAUUGGUAGACUAUUUCUUAUUAAAUAACGAUGCGUGUUACAAAGUAUUUUGUUUUGUGGUUAUUUGUACUGCUUGGUUCGAUAAUUCCAUUCAGCAGUACUAAACAACGAAGUCAAUAUACUAUACGUAAUCACUUACACAUUAAAAUGCCUCAUAAAGGUCACAAUGUUAUGCCUGAAUCGUAUAAAAAAAAUCCUAAAAUUUAUUGCUCGAAAGCAUAUCGACGCACUUGGAUUGGAAGAUGUGUUAAAAAACAUUAGAUAUUUUCAUAAAUUUAUCAAUAAAUUACAAAAUGUACUUUGAUACUGUAAAUGUUAAAAUAAUAAUUUUAUAAAUUCACAAUGUGUGACAAUAAAUUUUUUUAACAAAUAA